ACGCCGCGUGAGUGAUGAAGGCCUUCGGGUCGUAAGACUCUGUUGUCAGGGAAGAACAAGUGCGAGAGUCACUGCUCGCACCUUGACGGUACCUUACCAGAAAGCCACGGCUAACUACGUGCCAGCAGCCGCGGUAAUACGUAGGUGGCAAGCGUUGUCCGGAAUUAUUGGGCGUAAAGCGCGCGCAGGCGGUCUCUUAAGUCUGAUGUGAAAGCCCCCGGCUCAACCGGGGAGGGUCAUUGGAAACUGGGAGACUUGAGUGCAGAAGAGGAGAGUGGAAUUCCACGUGUAGCGGUGAAAUGCGUAGAGAUGUGGAGGAACACCAGUGGCGAAGGCGACUCUCUGGUCUGUAACUGACGCUGAGGCGCGAAAGCGUGGGGAGCAAACAGGAUUAGAUACCCUGGUAGUCCACGCCGUAAACGAUGAGUGCUAAGUGUUGGAGGGUUUCCGCCC
rnacentral:rRNA from 1 species